rnacentral:rRNA from 1 species
AUUGAACGCUGGCGGCAUGCCUUACACAUGCAAGUCGAACGGUAACAGGUCUUCGGAUGCUGACGAGUGGCGAACGGGGUGAGUAAUACAUCGGAACGUGCCCGAUCGUGGGGGAUAACGGAGCGAAAGCUUUGCUAAUACCGCAUACGAUCCUACGGAUGAAAGCAGGGGACCGCAAGGGCCUUGCGCGGACGGAGCGGCCGAUGGCAGAUUAGGUAGUUGGUGGGAUAAAAGCUUACCAAGCCGACGAUCUGUAGCUGGUCUGAGAGGACGACCAGCCACACUGGGACUGAGACACGGCCCAGACUCCUACGGGAGGCAGCAGUGGGGAAUUUUGGACAAUGGGCGCAAGCCUGAUCCAGCCAUGCCGCGUGCAGGAUGAAGGCCUUCGGGUUGUAAACUGCUUUUGUACGGUAACGAAAAGGCUCUCUCUAAUACAGGGGUGAAGUGACGGUACCGUAAGAAUAAGCACCGGCUAACUACGUGCCAGCAGCCGAC